UACGUAGGGUGCGAGCGUUGUCCGGAAUUAUUGGGCGUAAAGAGCUCGUAGGCGGUUUGUCGCGUCUGCCGUGAAAGUCCGGGGCUCAACUCCGGAUCUGCGGUGGGUACGGGCAGACUAGAGUGAUGUAGGGGGAGACUGGAAUUCCUGGUGUAGCGGUGAAAUGCGUAGAUAUAGGAAGGAAUACCAGUGGCGAAGGCGGCCUCCUGGAUCGAUACUGACGCUGAGGCGCGAAAGCGUGGGGGAGCAAACGGG
rnacentral:rRNA from 1 species